rnacentral:rRNA from 1 species
UACAGAGGGUGCGAGCGUUGUUCGGAAUUAUUGGGCGUAAAGAGCUCGUAGGCGGUUCGUCGCGUCGGCUGUGAAAUCCCGAGGCCCAACCUCGGGUCUGCAGUCGAUACGGGCGGACUGGAGUUCGGCAGGGGAGACUGGAAUUCCUGGUGUAGCGGUGAAAUGCGCAGAUAUCAGGAGGAACACCGGUGGCGAAGGCGGGUCUCUGGGCCGAUACUGACGCUGAGGAGCGAAAGCGUGGGGAGCGAACAGG